CCCUUAGAUGUCCUGGGCCGCACGCGCGUUACACUGAUGCAUUCAACGAGCUUAUAACCUUGGCCGAGAGGUCUGGGCAAUCUUGUUAACGUGCAUCGUGAUAGGGAUAGAUUAUUGAAAUUAUUAAUCUUGAACGAGGAAUUCCUAGUAAACGCAGAUCAUCAAUCUGCAUUGAUUACGUCCCUGCCCUUUGUACACACCGCCCGUCGCACCUACCGAUUGGAUGGUCCGGUGAAGCCUCGGGAUUGUGGUUCUUGCCGCUUUAUUGUGGCGUGACCGCGAGAACUUGUCUAAACCUUAUCAUCUAGAGGAAGGUGAAGUCGUAACA
rnacentral:rRNA from 1 species